UACAGAGGGUGCUAGCGUUGUUCGGAAUUAUUGGGCGUAAAGGGUGCGUAGGCGGCCUUCUAAGUCAAUUGCGAAAUUCUGGAGCUUAACUCCAGCGCUGUAAUUGAUACUAUAAGGCUAGAAUGUGGAAGGGGUGGAUGGAAUUUCCAGUGUAAGAGUGAAAUCUUUAGAUAUUGGUAGGAACACCAGAGGCGAAGGCGAUCCACUGGGACAUUAUUGACGCUGAGGCACGAAAGCGUGGGGAGCAAACAGG
rnacentral:rRNA from 1 species